AUUGAACGCUGGCGGCAUGCCUUACACAUGCAAGUCGAGCGGCAGCGCGGGGGCAACCCUGGCGGCGAGCGGCGCACGGGUGAGUAAUACAUCGGAACGUGUCCUUUUGUGGGGGAUAACCAGUCGAAAGACUGGCUAAUACCGCAUGAGAUCUCACGAUGAAAGCGGGGGACCGCAAGGCCUCGCGCGAUUGGAGCGGCCGAUGUCGGAUUAGCAGUUGGCGGGUAAAGCCCACCAAGGCGACGAUCCGUAGCUGGUUUGAGAGAACGACCAGCCACACUGGGACUGAGACACGGCCCAGACUCCUACGGGAGGCAGCAGUGGGGAAUUUUGGACAAUGGGGGCAACCCUGAUCCAGCCAUGCCGCGUGUGUGAAGAAGGCCUGG
rnacentral:rRNA from 1 species